rnacentral:rRNA from 1 species
GACGAACGCUGGCGGCGUGCUUAACACAUGCAAGUCGAACGGAAAGGCCUCUUUCGGGGGGUACUCGAGUGGCGAACGGGUGAGUAACACGUGAGUAACCUGCCCUUGACAUUGGGAUAACUUCAGGAAACUGGGGCUAAUACCGGAUAGGAGCUCCUGCUGCAUGGUGGGGGGUGGAAAGUUUCGGCGGUUGGGGAUGGACUCGCGGCUUAUCAGAUUGUUGGUGGGGUAGUGGCUUACCAAGGCUUUGACGGGUAGCCGGCCUGAGAGGGUGACCGGCCACAUUGGGACUGCUGUGCGGCCCAGACUCCUACGGGAGGAAGCAGUGGGGAAUAAUGUACAAUGGGCGGAAGCCUGAUGCAGCAACGCCGCGUGCGGGAUGACGGCCUUCGGGUUGUAGACCGCUUUCGCCUGUGACGAAGCGUGAGUGACGGUAAUGGGUAAAGAAGCACCGGCUAACUACGUG